GAGAACAGGACUUACGACUUUCAGACGGUUCAAGCCAUCAGAAUCUGGUUUACUGUCACCAAAAACUUGCAAAACCUCUUCUCUUGCCUUAGUCUGCCAAUGUGGAUGCCUUGCUAACAAAAUCAUUGUCCAAACCAGCAAAACGGAGGUGGUCUCUUGGCCAGCAAAGUAAAACAGCUUACACUCCUCAAUCACAUCUUCAAUACUCAUUCCCAUGUUCUUGUGAUCCCCAUGUUCUUGAAUUUCUCUAAUGUUGGAUUCUACAAGUAUGCCUAACAAGUCAUCAUUACUGACUUCACUCGCCUUAGUUGCCUCCUCUCUUUUCUUUAUCAUUCCCUUGAGUGAGUCUUUUAUAUCUUUGGCAAUCACCUUCAUCUUCCUGUUUGUCUUAGUUGGUAAAUACCUAAUAAGACAAAUGUAAAAUAUAGCUUUUAGCACAUAAAGAAGAAAACCCUUGAACAAAAUGGAUUGAACUGUGAAAAAUAACAAAUUUUACCUCCACCCCGGAAUGUAAGCUGACUGUACCACUUGCAUUGUAAGAUUGGUUUGAUCCUCUAGUAGUUGGAAAAUUUGUCUACCUUCUUCGAAGCUGCUUCCAAAUGCUGCUCGGGAAAUCACAUCUCUUGUCAAUUUUACGAGGUAAGGCCACACAUCUAACUCACUAGACCCCUCUAAGAAAACCAGCUUCUCCCAUUUGCUGAUCAUCUCAAUACAACUUUGAUAGAAUGCAGGCAACAUGUUCUGUAAUGAUUUCCACAUCAGUAUAAGAUUACCGUAAUUGGUACUAUUUUUGAACAAUUAAUACAUGUAUAUACUAAGUACUCAUUAACACAGUAAGCAAAUUUGGGAUGAAAUAAGUUAAUUUUGGUGCAGGAAGCCAUAAAUUUUUCUUGAUGUUUCUCCAUUAUUACUGCAUUUUCUAGGUGUUCCAUAAAGGCUUCCUCACCUGCCACAACACUCAAAACAAACCAAGGAAGGAAUACCCAGUGCUACUCUUACUCAGUUGCAAUAAUUACCUCACCCAGGAUAAUUAAAGGAUGCAUAUUGAUAAAGAAAUCAAAAGUGGAAAGAGAACCUGCCUUCAACUUAUCUUGAUGAAAUGCAGGGUUGAUGAUCUUUCUAUGCUUAGCCCACUCCUCUCCAUCGAGGUUUACAAGUCCACUUACAAGUAAGCUGACAAGAGGGUUGGUAUGCGGCUUCUGAAAGUCAUUGAAUUUGGUAAAUAUCUCUCUUAUUUCUUCAGGUUCCAUGAUGGUCACCCUUGGAAUCGGACCAACCCAAGAAAAAGAAUUCUUGCCUGCAUUUUCCCCAGAUUUCAUAUCAAAGCAUUGGGAAUUAAAAUUUUAAUUCAAAGAUUAAUUUAAUGCUUUCAGUGUGUUUAAUUACUCAAUUUUGAAUAUUCCUUUAAUAAAAUGGUAGGUUGUUGGAAUCUACCUCAUGUACUUAACCAAUAUUUUAUAAUUCUUGUAUUUGAAUACUUAUGUUAUCCAUUAAACUUUUCAAUGCCAUUAAAACAGUAAUAAAAAUUUAUUCAAUAAUCAUUUUUGAUAAUGUACAGAAAGAAGAAGAAUUGAACAAUUAUUAACCCAAACAUGUCAUCAUACCCAACUUCAGCAAAAUGGCUUGUGGGCUCCAAUGGUCUUUUGGCUUAUCCGUCACUUUCAUGUAUUUUUUAGUUUUUCUCCCAUUUGCCAUUUCAAUAUUAAAAUACUCCGGGAAAAAAAUUGGCUUAAAUUACUCAUACUAAACUUGAAUUAUGUUGUUCAGAAAAGAUUUUCCUAUAUUUUUUGAUCUAAAUUUAAACAUUUUCUUUCUGAUAGUAUUUCUUUCAAUUAAUCACUGUUUUCACUGAAUAAAACUUCGCAUGUUCAACAAUCACAGUAAUUGACACAUAUCAUUAAAAUAAUCAUCGAUUAAAUGGAUUCAUUUAAUUAUGUAUCAAAAAAUUGAUACAAAAUUAAAUACAUGUUAAAACUGAACGGACUAAAACCAUUUUUCAUGUUACUAAGAUGGAACAAAACACUAAAAAUUUUGUAAUAAAAUCAUAAUUUGAUCCAAAAAGACAACAUUCAAACUAUUAAGGGAUGAAAGAAGACCAUUUCCAAUUUAGGCAUACCAUAAUUCUUGACAGUUUGAUGAAGGAAAGGACCAACAUAUUGCGUAAUAUCAUCACCGAGGGGCAUAGGUUGGGAUCUUGCUUGUCUGCUCAUGGCGAAGCUCUCUUUGAUAUCUCCAGACAAAAACCUGUAAGAAUUGCCUGUAAGACCCUGUUGCCUCAGGCACCUUUCCAGCCUCUUUGGCUUCACCCACACCCAGUCUACGAUUCUCCAUCCCCAUAUCAAUAUCCCAACAACAAGGAAAGAAAGCGAAAUUCCAAUUACAGGGGGCACCUCCAUUUUUCUUUGCUGAGAAAAUGGUGUCUGAAGAGUAAGUGGGUUGUUUACGGAAGAGUAGACAAAGACUGAGGUUGGUUUAUGGGGUAAAAAGCUUGUGCAAUGGGCAAAGACAAAUGGUUGAUGUUACAGCUGAUAAGAGGUUCCUGGUGUCAAGGCAGGCGACGUGUACCUAAAUAUGACGAUUUNUAAUAAAUUUUAAAAUUAAUAAUAAUAAAAAUAAUUAUAAUAAAACAAAAAAAAAUAAUAUCAAAUAUAAUGAAAUUUAAUAUAAAUCACAUAUGCAAAAUUUAUUAUCAUAUAAUAUGAUAAAAUACAUCAUUAACAUCUAACUUUCAAAUACUAAUAAUAUAAAAAAUCAUUCAUAAUUUUUAAUCGUAAUAAUUACAUUAUUACAUUUAUAAAAUUAAAAAAACUUAUUAAAAUAAUUAUUUAAAAUUAUUUAUAUAAAGACUAAAAUAAUCUUUAAUAAUUAUUUUUAAUAAGUUAAUAAACGUGUUACAUAUACACAUUUAAAUACGAUAACACGAUUAAAAAAAUAUAUUUAAAUGUGUUUGUCGUGUCUGACACGUUAAGACAAAAUUCAAACCAAAUUAAGAGUUUUUUUUUUGAAAUUCAAACCAAAUUAAGAGUCUAGUGUUAACAUUACACCAGCAACAAAAUUCAACUAGGAUGGGAAACACCCAAAACCUCUAUUUAGGGGUUUGAAAGCCCUUGUUUCCAGUGUUUGAAGAAAUCUGAAAAAUGGUACAAAAUUAACCAAUGGUUUAUUGGUUUUCAGAUUUAGACAAGUGAACUUAGAGUAACUUAUGUGAGACUUCGGAUACUCUUGAACCUUGAGCCAAUUAGAUAUUUCACAGACAGAUUGGUUCUCCUGAGUUUAAUUUUCAAUGUCUCAAAAGAUCUUUUUUGUUGCUUAAAAGAGAAAGCACCAUAGUUGAGGUCUAGCAAUUCAUCCCAUAAGUACAUGCUUCAUUGAGAGUUUGAGACUUGGCCCCUACGCUUGUAUUUGAAUUGUGUUACACUAUGAACGCUAGAUUUUGAUUAACAUUUACAUGAUGAACGAUGAACGUGAUUAUUGAUUGGGUUGUUUAACAUAUAACCUGAUGGUUUUACCACUAGAGUUUAUGUAAAAUUAUGUGAGCACCAUGCUGUGGACGUAGAGUGAUGUUGGUGCAGGGAGAGUGAGCAUAGGAAGGGGAAAGCUCGAACCAGAAUUGUCUGAGGAUCAUUGCAAGCGCCAUUUUUGCUUCCAUCAGAGCAAAGUUCUGUCCAAUGCAGAUUCUAGGACCCCAUCCAAAAGGGAAAUAUAUGACUUGACUCUUUGUUGCUUUCGAAACCCCUUCCGAGAACCUGUCAGGAUUGAACUCAUGUGCAUCAUCGCCCCAAAGUUCUUGAUCAUGGUGAAUCAGCAGCACUGGCAGCGUAAUUUCUGCGCCAGCUGGUAACAACAAUUUUCCCAGUCUCGUAUCUUUCGGAACGGAGCGCCCUAGUGCAACGACUGCCGGGUACAGCCUAAGAACCUCGUGCAAGAUCAUUGUUACCUGUGGCAUUGAAUCAAUUAAAGUAAAUAUAGAAAAAUGUGCUCUUAAUUUGGUCCAUUAUAAUCGGAGAACAGGACUUACGACUUUCAGACGGUUCAAGCCAUCAGAAUCUGGUUUACUGUCACCAAAAACUUCCAAAACCUCUUCUCUUGCCUUAGUCUGCCAAUGUGGAUGCCUUGCCAACAAAAUCAUUGUCCAAACCAGCAAAACGGAGGUGGUCUCUUGGCCAGCAAAGUAAAACAGCUUGCACUCCUCAAUCACAUCUUCAAUGCUCAUUCCCAUGUUCUUGUGAUCCCCUUGUUCUUGAAUUUCUCUAAUGUUGGAUUCUACAAGUAUGCCUAACAAGUCAUCAUUACUGACUUCACUCGCCUUAGUUGCCUCCUCUCUUUUCUUUAUCAUUCCCUUCAGUGAGUCUUUUAUAUCUUUGGCAAUCACCUUCAUCUUCCUGUUUGUCUUAGUUGGUAGAUACCUAAUAAGACAAAUGUAAAAUAUAGCUUUUAGCACAUAAAGAAGAAAAUCCUUGACCAAAAUGGAUUGAACUGUGAAAAAUAACAAAUUUUACCUCCAUCCCGGAAUGUAAGCUGACUGUACCACUUGCAUUGUAAGACUGGUUUGAUCCUCUAGUAGUUGGAAAAUUCGUCUACCUUCUUCGUAGCUGCUUCCAAAUGCUGCUCGGGAAAUCACAUCUCUUGUCAAUUUUACGAGGUAAGGCCACACAUCUAACUCACUAGACCCCUCUAAGAAAACCAGCUUCUCCCAUUUGCUGAUCAUCUCAAUACAACUUUGAUAGAAAGCUGGCAACAUGUUCUGUAAUGAUUUCCACAUCAGGAUAAGAUUACUGUCAUUGGUACUAUUUUUGAACAAUUAAUACAUGUAUAUACUAAGUACUCAUUAACACCGUAAGCAAAUUUGGGAUGAAAUAAGUUAAUUUUGGUGCAGGGAGCCAUAAAUUUUCCUCGAUGUUUCUCCAUUAUUACUGCAUUUUCCAGGUGUUCCCAUAAAGGCUUCCUCACCAGCCACAACACUCAAAACAAACCAAGGAAGGAAUACCCAGUGCUACUCUGACUCAGUUGCAAUAAUUACCUCACCCAGGAUAAUUAAAGGAUGCAUAUUGAUAAAGAAAUCAAAAGUGGAAAUAGAACAUGCCUUCAACUUAUCUUGAUGAAAUGCAGGGUUGAUGAUCUUUCUAUGCUUAGCCCACUCCUCUCCAUCGAGGUUUACAAGUCCACUUACAAGUAAGGUGACAAGAGGGUUGCUAUGCGGCUUCUGAAAGUCAUUGAAUUUGGUAAAUAUCUCUCUUAUUUCUUCAGGUUCCAUGAUGGUCACCCUUGGAAUCGGACCAACCCAAGAAAAAGAACUCUUGCCUGCAUUUUCCCCAGAUUUCAUAUCAAAGCAUUGGGAAUUAAAAUUUUAAUUCAAAGAUUAAUUAAAUGCUUUCAGUGUGUUUAAUUACUCAAUUUUGAAUAUUCCUUUAAUAAAAUGUUAGGUUGUUGGAAUCUGCCUCAUGUACUUAACCAAUAUUUUAUAAUUCUUGUAUUUGAAUACUUAUGUUAUCCAUUAAACUUUUCAAUGCCAUUAAAACAGUAAUAAAAAUUUAUUCAAUAAUCAUUUUUGAUAAUGUACAGAAAGAAGAAGAAUUGAACAAUUAUUAACCCAAACAUGUCAUCAUACCCAACUUCAGCAAAAUGGCUUGUGGGCUCCAAUGGACUUUUGGCUUAUCCGUCACUUUCAUGUAUUUUUUAGUUUUUCUCCCAUUUGCCAUUUCAAUAUUAAAAUACUCCGGGAAAAAAAUUGGCUUAAAUUACUCAUACUAAACUUGAAUUAUGUUGUUCAGAAAAGAUUUUCCUAUAUUUUUUGAUCUAAAUUUAAACAUUUUCUUUCUGAUAGUAUUUCUUUCAAUUAAUCACUGUUUUCACUGAAUAAAACUUCGCAUGUUCAACAAUCACAGUAAUUGACACAUAUCAUUAAAAUAAUCAUCGAUUAAAUGGAUUCAUUUAAUUAUGUAUCAAAAAAUUGAUACAAAAUUAAAUACAUGUUAAAACUGAACGGACUAAAACCAUUUUUCAUGUUACUAAGAUGGAACAAAACACUAAAAAUUUUGUAAUAAAAUCAUAAUUUGAUCCAAAAAGACAACAUUCAAACUAUUAAGGGAUGAAAGAAGACCAUUUCCAAUUUAGGCAUACCAUAAUUCUUGACAGUUUGAUGAAGGAAAGGACCAACAUAUUGCGUAAUAUCAUCACCGAGGGGCAUAGGUUGGGAUCUUGCUUGUCUGCUCAUGGCGAAGCUCUCUUUGAUAUCUCCAGACAAAAACCUGUAAGAAUUGCCUGUAAGACCCUGUUGCCUCAGGCACCUUUCCAGCCUCUUUGGCUUCACCCACACCCAGUCUACGAUUCUCCAUCCCCAUAUCAAUAUCCCAACAACAAGGAAAGAAAGCGAAAUUCCAAUUACAGGGGGCACCUCCAUUUUUCUUUGCUGAGAAAAUGGUGUCUGAAGAGUAAGUGGGUUGUUUACGGAAGAGUAGACAAAGACUGAGGUUGGUUUAUGGGGUAAAAAGCUUGUGCAAUGGGCAAAGACAAAUGGUUGAUGUUACAGCUGAUAAGAGGUUCCUGGUGUCAAGGCAGGCGACGUGUACCUAAAUAUGACGAUUUAUGUUUUCGUAUCGUAAACGUAUCAAACACGAUUAGACACGAAAUAUAUUAAAAUUAAAUAUAAAUAUGAUAUAUUUAAUAUUCGUAUUUUAAAUUUAAAAUAUAUACACAUAUACGUUUAAUAAACGUAUAACAUGACACGACACGAUUAACACAUUUAUUAAACGUGUCAAUUUAUAACACGAUACGAUUAAUAAUACGUUUAACAUAAUUAUAUAAAAAUAUUUAAAAUUAAAUAUAAUUUUAUUAUUUAAAUUUAAAAUCUAUAAUUAUAAAAAUAAUUAUAAUAAAACAAAAAAAAAUAAUAUCAAAUAUAAUGAAAUUUAAUAUAAAUCACAUAUGCAAAAUUUAUUAUCAUAUAAUAUGAUAAAAUACAUCAUUAACAUCUAACUUUCAAAUACUAAUAAUAUAAAAAAUCAUUCAUAAUUUUUAAUCAUAAUAAUUACAUUAUUACAUUUAUAAAAUUAAAAAAACUUAUUAAAAUAAUUAUUUAAAAUUAUUUAUAUAAAACUAAAAUAAUCUUUAAUAAUUAUUUUUAAUAAGUUAAUAAACGUGUUACAUAUACACAUUUAAAUACGAUAACACGAUUAAAAAAAUAUAUUUAAAUGUGUUUGUCGUGUCUGACACGUUAAGACAAAAUUCAAACCAAAUUAAGAGUUUUUUUUUUGAAAUUCAAACCAAAUUAAGAGUCUAGUGUUAACAUUACACCAGCAACAAAAUUCAACUAGGAUGGGAAACACCCAAAACCUCUAUUUAGGGGUUUGAAAGCCCUUGUUUCCAGUGUUUGAAGAAAUCUGAAAAAUGGUACAAAAUUAACCAAUGGUUUAUUGGUUUUCAGAUUUAGACAAGUGAACUUAGAGUAACUUAUGUGAGACUUCGGAUACUCUUGAACCUUGAGCCAAUUAGAUAUUUCACAGACAGAUUGGUUCUCCUGAGUUUAAUUUUCAAUGUCUCAAAAGAUCUUUUUUGUUGCUUAAAAGAGAAAGCACCAUAGUUGAGGUCUAGCAAUUCAUCCCAUAAGUACAUGCUUCAUUGAGAGUUUGAGACUUGGCCCCUACGCUUGUAUUUGAAUUGUGUUACACUAUGAACGCUAGAUUUUGAUUAACAUUUACAUGAUGAACGAUGAACGUGAUUAUUGAUUGGGUUGUUUAACAUAUAACCUGAUGGUUUUACCACUAGAGUUUAUGUAAAAUUAUGUGAGCACCAUGCUGUGGACGUAGAGUGAUGUUGGUGCAGGGAGAGUGAGCAUAGGAAGGGGAAAGCUCGAACCAGAAUUGUCUGAGGAUCAUUGCAAGCGCCAUUUUUGCUUCCAUCAGAGCAAAGUUCUGUCCAAUGCAGAUUCUAGGACCCCAUCCAAAAGGGAAAUAUAUGACUUGACUCUUUGUUGCUUUCGAAACCCCUUCCGAGAACCUGUCAGGAUUGAACUCAUGUGCAUCAUCGCCCCAAAGUUCUUGAUCAUGGUGAAUCAGCAGCACUGGCAGCGUAAUUUCUGCGCCAGCUGGUAACAACAAUUUUCCCAGUCUCGUAUCUUUCGGAACGGAGCGCCCUAGUGCAACGACUGCCGGGUACAGCCUAAGAACCUCGUGCAAGAUCAUUGUUACCUGUGGCAUUGAAUCAAUUAAAGUAAAUAUAGAAAAAUGUGCUCUUAAUUUGGUCCAUUAUAAUCGGAGAACAGGACUUACGACUUUCAGACGGUUCAAGCCAUCAGAAUCUGGUUUACUGUCACCAAAAACUUCCAAAACCUCUUCUCUUGCCUUAGUCUGCCAAUGUGGAUGCCUUGCCAACAAAAUCAUUGUCCAAACCAGCAAAACGGAGGUGGUCUCUUGGCCAGCAAAGUAAAACAGCUUGCACUCCUCAAUCACAUCUUCAAUGCUCAUUCCCAUGUUCUUGUGAUCCCCUUGUUCUUGAAUUUCUCUAAUGUUGGAUUCUACAAGUAUGCCUAACAAGUCAUCAUUACUGACUUCACUCGCCUUAGUUGCCUCCUCUCUUUUCUUUAUCAUUCCCUUCAGUGAGUCUUUUAUAUCUUUGGCAAUCACCUUCAUCUUCCUGUUUG
rnacentral:lncRNA from 1 species